GACGAACGCUGGCGGCGUGCUUAACACAUGCAAGUCGAACGAUGAAGCCUAGCUUGCUAGGUGGAUUAGUGGCGAACGGGUGAGUAAUACGUGAGUAACCUACCUUUAACUCUGGGAUAAGCCUGGGAAACUGGGUCUAAUACCGGAUACGACCAAUCUCCGCAUGGGGUGUUGGUGGAAAGCGUUAUGUAGUGGUUAUAGAUGGGCUCACGGCCUAUCAGCUUGUUGGUGAGGUAACGGCUCACCAAGGCGACGACGGGUAGCCGGCCUGAGAGGGUGACCGGCCACACUGGGACUGAGACACGGCCCAGACUCCUACGGGAGGCAGCAGUGGGGAAUAUUGCACAAUGGGCGCAAGCCUGAUGCAGCGACGCCGCGUGAGGGAUGACGGCCUUCGGGUUGUAAACCUCUGUUAGCAGGGAAGAAGAGAAAUUGACGGUACCUGCAGAGAAAGCGCCGGCUAACUACGUGCCAGCAGCCGCGGUAAUACGUAGGGCGCGAGCGUUGUCCGGAAUUAUUGGGCGUAAAGAGCUUGUAGGCGGUUUGUCGCGUCUGCUGUGAAGGCCGGGGCUUAACCCCGUGUAUUGCAGUGGGUACGGGCAGACUAGAGUGCAGUAGGGGAGACUGGAAUUCCUGGUGUAGCGGUGGAAUGCGCAGAUAUCAGGAGGAACACCGAUGGCGAAGGCAGGUCUCUGGGCUGUAACUGACGCUGAGAAGCGAAAGCAUGGGGAGCGAACAGGAUUAGAUACCCUGGUAGUCCAUGCCGUAAACGUUGGGCACUGGGUGUGGGGGACAUUCCACGUUUUCCGCGCCGUAGCUAACGCAUUAAGUGCCCCGCCUGGGGAGUACGGCCGCAAGGCUAAAACUCAAAGAAAUUGACGGGGGCCCGCACAAGCGGCGGAGCAUGCGGAUUAAUUCGAUGCAACGCGAAGAACCUUACCAAGGCUUGACAUAUACUGGACCGCAUCAGAGAUGGUGUUUCCCUUCGGGGCUGGUAUACAGGUGGUGCAUGGUUGUCGUCAGCUCGUGUCGUGAGAUGUUGGGUUAAGUCCCGCAACGAGCGCAACCCUCGUUCUAUGUUGCCAGCACGUUAUGGUGGGGACUCAUAGGAGACUGCCGGGGUCAACUCGGAGGAAGGUGGGGAUGACGUCAAAUCAUCAUGCCCCUUAUGUCUUGNGCUUCACGCAUGCUACAAUGGCCGGUACAGAGGGUUGCGAUACUGUGAGGUGGAGCUAAUCCCUAAAAGCCGGUCUCAGUUCGGAUUGGGGUCUGCAACUCGACCCCAUGAAGUCGGAGUCGCUAGUAAUCGCAGAUCAGCAACGCUGCGGUGAAUACGUUUCCGGGGCU
rnacentral:rRNA from 1 species